rnacentral:rRNA from 1 species
AUGGAUUCGGCAGGCGCCUCGAAGCCCGAGGAGGAGGUGGCCGCUUACCAGAGCAGCGAGGCCAAUCAGGCGAGGCUGCAGUCCAUGCUCGCGGCGCUCCUCGACGACCCCUUACUCGCCGACGUCCCGAGGAAGCCCUCGCUGGCGGACGUGGACACGCUCAUCAACCUCGAGCUCGGCAGCGCCAUGAGGGUGACCGUCCUCAAGCUGGACAACACCUCGUUCGAUGUCGCGGUGUUGAACACCGCUACGCUCAAGGAUUUGAAGCUGGCUAUCAGGAAGAAGAUAACUGAGAUAGAGCAGGGCCAGAUGGGCCAUCGUCACAUCUCAUGGAAGCAUAUUUGGGAGAACUACUGCCUGACACAUCAGAGUGAGAAGUUGAUAGAUGACAAUUCUGCACUUUCUUCUUACGACAUUCGAAAUAAUUCCAAGGUUUGUUUCUCACCGCACGUCAUGUCGAGAGUACAUCAGAAGCAUUCUAGGAGAAGGAAACACCGUUUCUUCCACGGGCUUAGCAGGAAGAUGUGA